GGAGUUCAGUCUUCCCAGGCCCACCAGCCUUCGCGCUUCGCUGCUUCGGCUAGGCAAGCCCUUCGAAACGAAGGCUGCCGCGCCGUAGCCUCGGCGAAGGCGGGCUAAUCAAACGAGCAUUCGUCUUCUGGUUACGGGGCCAUAGCUCAGCUGGGAGAGCGCGUGCUUUGCAAGCAUGAGGUCGUCGGUUCGAUCCCGUCUGGCUCCACCAGCCUUCGCAGGCUUCGCCUGCUUCGGCUAGGCGAGCCAGUCGGUAGCGAAAGGCUGCCGCGCCGUAGCCGAAAGGCGAAGGCGGGCUACUUCUGAUCCCGUAACCAUCAUCGUCCGCGAAACAUCACUUCGCAUCCUGCUAGUCUGGAUAGACAGCAAGAUGCGUGUUUUCUGACAUCGUAAAGAGGAGAUCGAUCCGAGUUGGGUCGUGCAGCAGAUUGUUGCGCGAAUCCUUCAUUAUCUCCGGAUCAUUUUCGGCGCUCGCUUUCAGCCGUGAGGUUGAAUGCGAGUUGUAAAAUGAUCCUUUUAGCGAAGCUUGACCGCCUCGCUAUCGGAACGAUCUUACGAAGCAAGCUGGUCUUUCUAGUCAAUGUCCGGCUGCAGAUAGCGUUCAUCGAGGGCGCGUGCCGCAAGGCAAUUCUGCAGACAACAUUCUGCCGAGUGUGUGGACAUUGAUAAUGAGAGCAAUCAAGUGCCUUAAGGGUGUUCGGUGGAUGCCUUGGCGCUGAGAGGCGAUGAAGGACGUGCUACGCUGCGAUAAGCC
rnacentral:misc_RNA from 1 species